CUCUUAUCUAUGGCCACGCUGCCUGUGGUAUAGUUGGCAGCAGGUUUGGCCUUUGAUCCUGUAAGGUUAUUUUUAAUACUGACUCAGACUGUUCAUGUGCUUUAAUUGCCAGCAGCAGCAGCAGCUCGUCGAAGUCAUGUUAGACAAAAGGACAGGUUCAGCCAGUGGUGUCGGACGCAUCAGAGAUUUACUUUGUGCAGUGAACGGACUUUCGACAACACCAGCUGUAAUCAACAACAACUGGAACAUCCUCAAUUUGAGACACUGGACAAUACAUCAGCAGCCAAACCAAAAUGAGGAAAUAGAGAAAAGGAAAGAGCAGUGACGCAGCCCAGUGGACAGAAGAAUGCGUUGACCUGUUGCACCAGUUACAGGAAGAGCUCCAGGAUGAAGACAAAGCCGGGGGCGAAGUAGAGCAGGAGCAGAACCCCGUGGGCCAGCAGGGUGACCCGCGCCCUGGAGAAGCGGCUCUGCCAGAUGCCAUGGGUCCUUGUUACCAUGUAGAGUCGAAUGUAGCAGUAAAAAAUGAGCAAAGCACAGAA